rnacentral:rRNA from 2 species
UGGGGAAUUUUGGACAAUGGGCGCAAGCCUGAUCCAGCAAUGCCGCGUGUGUGAAGAAGGCCUUCGGGUUGUAAAGCACUUUUGUCCGGAAAGAAAACCGCCUGGCUAAUAUCCGGGCGGGAUGACGGUACCGGAAGAAUAAGCACCGGCUAACUACGUGCCAGCAGCCGCGGUAAUACGUAGGGUGCAAGCGUUAAUCGGAAUUACUGGGCGUAAAGCGUGCGCAGGCGGUUCGCUAAGACAGAUGUGAAAUCCCCGGGCUUAACCUGGGAACUGCAUUUGUGACUGGCGGGCUAGAGUAUGGCAGAGGGGGGUAGAAUUCCACGUGUAGCAGUGAAAUGCGUAGAGAUGUGGAGGAAUACCGAUGGCGAAGGCAGCCCCCUGGGCCAAUACUGACGCUCAUGCACGAAAGCGUGGGGAGCAAACA